UUUCUUCCAGAACUUAGAGGCAAUUACUGCGGGGGUGGGCAGGGGCAGGGAAGUCUCCAUCCCAGUACUGUAUCUAUCCUUUCUGAAGCCAGAUGGCUACUAUGGAUGGAACAGGCAGUGCCAGAAAUUCUCAAUCCCGUCAGAACCCCUUUGUGAUAGUCUUUCUUCUGAUUUCGUACUUCCAUCAAGUCGUCGGUACUCAAGUCCAGCCGCCAUACAGUAUUGCUGCAGAACAUCAAGCAACUACAGAAAAGAUAUGAAGAAAGGCAAAGACAAAUUCAUGGUGUAAUAAGUUUCAUACAAUUAUAGAGAUAAGAUUUACUAAGUAUUAAUAAUUGCUGCUUACAAAUUCUUUCUUACAAUUAUAAGAGCAACAAAUAUUUUCCUAGCUUCUGGCUAAUGUAUUUCUUCCUAUUAUCCUGAAACUGACUCUAAAGUUCACCAAUGCUUGUCUUAAAAAAAAAAAGAAAAGAAAAAAAUCAACCUUUUAAGGAAAAAAAGAAAUCAAACUUUAUUUUUUUAAACUAAAACUAAAUAAAAAGAAAAGUAUUGGCCAAUUUAUGUAAAUAACUUUCAUUAUUUGUGCUAUUUUCCAGGUUCUAAAAUCUCUUAAGUGUCUUGAAUAUUUUAAUUAUAGCAAAAACAUAAACAGAGAAUUAAAAAUCUAUCUUUGAAUCUGCUAUUUGACAAUAACCUUGGUAUCUUUGAGAUUUAAGCGUCUUCUGUUUUAAAAGUUGCUUAUCUCACUAUAGUAUGUAUAGGAGAGAAAAUGUGGCUGGACACAUAUGUCUCUUAGGCUUUGUGCCUCAGAGUUAGUGCUGGGCCAAUCAAGAAUAUACUUCAGAAGAAACUCACCUUGGUGGAAAAGGAGAAAAGAAGUAUUUUAUCUUUGUUUUUCCUGCAAUGAUUUAAAAGCUGCUGAAGGACCUGGAAAUGAACCACAGAAAUCAACCACCAGUGAAACAGUUCCAACUAAAAGCACACUUUAUACAUAUAAACAUCACUUGAGUUUUUCUUAAAAGUUAUUUUUAUACAAUAUAACCUCACUCCUCUUUCCUAAUUCCCUUCAUUUUUGCCAACUUAGAGAAAUAAAGUAUUAGAUAUUA